AUAUUUACCUGGGGAGUUUUGGUCAUGAUCACUGGGGUGGCUCUCCCAGGGCAAGUCUGGUUCAUUGCGCUGCAAACCGGCUGGCCUCUGCGACUUCCUCACAUGUGGGAGACUCGACUGCAUGGUUUCUGUUGGUGGGGGAAUGUGUGCAUGCUUUCCCAAA